GACAGGCGUAGUCGAAUGGAUGAACGGGUUGAUAUUCCCGUACCGGUGUUACACCGUUCGAACUGAAUCUGAGAGUACUAACCUUCGUUAUUCUGGUUGAUUAUCUUUCGGGGUUUUCUUCUGGUUUAGUGUUGGGACUGUAUCGGUAGUAGGUUAGCGUGGGAGUGACGCGGGUAGGUAGCCGGCUGCGGAGGUGGUUUUCCGUGGCUAAGCGUGUGGGCUGUCCUCUAGGUAAAUCCGGGGGAUGUUUAAGCUGAGGCGUGAUGGGUAGGCUGUAAGGCUGAUUCCGGUGAUCCUGCUUGCCGAGAAAAGCUUCAACGUGAGGUGUGAUUCCGCUCGUACCCUAAACCGACACUGGUGGUCUGGUAGAGUAUACCGAAGCGAUCGGGCGAAUCCUGGCCAAGGAACUCGGCAAAUUACUCCCGUGCCUUCGGCAUAAGGGAGACCCCUGAUGGUGAUAUGGUUUCACAUUGUUGAGCUGUUGGGGGUGGCACAAGCUAGGGGGUAGCGACUGUUUACCAAAAACACAGGAGCGUGCGAAGGCGUAAGCCGCUGUAUACGCUCUGACGCCUGCCCGGUGCCGGAAGGUUAAGAG
rnacentral:rRNA from 1 species